rnacentral:rRNA from 1 species
UACGUAGGCAGCGAGCGUUGUUCGGAGUUACUGGGCGUAAAGGGUGUGUAGGCGGGUCUUUAAGUUUGGUGUGAAAUCUCCCGGCUCAACCGGGAGGGUGCGCCGAAUACUGAGGGACUAGAGUGCGGGAGAGGAAAGUGGAAUUCCUGGUGUAGCGGUGAAAUGCGUAGAUAUCAGGAGGAACACCGGUGGUGUAGACGGCUUUCUGGACCGUAACUGACGCUGAGACACGAAAGCGUGGGUAGCAAACAGG